GCUCGUAGUUGGAUUUCGGUUAAGAGCGACCGGUCCGCCGUUUGGUGUGUUUUGGUUGGUUUUACUUCCUGUAGAGGACGUGCUCUGGGCUUAACGGUCUGGACUCGGAGUCUACGUGGUUACUUUGAAAAAAUUAGAGUGUUCAAAGCGGGCUUACGCUUGAAUAUUUCAGCAUGGAAUAACACUAUAGGACUCCUGUCCUAUUUCGUUGGUCUCGGGACGGGAGUAAUGAUUAAGAGGAACAGUUGGGGGCAUUCGUAUUUCAUUGUCAGAGGUGAAAUUCUUGGAUUUAUGAAAGACGAACUUCUGCGAAAGCAUUUGCCAAGGAUGUUUUCAUUAAUCAAGAACGAAAGUUGGGGGCUCGAAGAUGAUUAGAUACCAUCCUAGUCUCAACCAUAAACGAUGCCGACUAGGGAUUGGUGGAUGUUAAUUGAUGACUCCGCCAGCACCUUAUGAGAAAUCAAAGUUUUUGGGUUCCGGGGGGAGUAUGGUCGCAAGGCUGAAACUUAAAGGAAUUGACGGAAGGGCACCACCAGGCGUGGAGCCUGCGGCUUAUUUUGACUCAACACGGGAAAACUUACCAGGU
rnacentral:rRNA from 1 species